GAUGAACGCUAGCGGGAGGCCUAACACAUGCAAGCCGAGCGGUAGAGAUUCUUCGGAAUCUUGAGAGCGGCGUACGGGUGCGGAACACGUGUGCAACCUACCUUUAUCUGGAGGAUAGCCUUUCGAAAGGAAGAUUAAUACUCCAUAAUAUAUUGAUUGGCAUCAAUUGAUAUUGAAAGCUCCGGCGGAUAGAGAUGGGCACGCGCAAGAUUAGUUAGUUGGUGAGGUAACGGCUCACCAAGACGAUGAUCUUUAGGGGCCUGAGAGGGUGAUCCCCCACACUGGUACUGAGACACGGACCAGACUCCUACGGGAGGCAGCAGUGAGG
rnacentral:rRNA from 1 species